GCCGGAGGGAAACCGAGUCUUAACCGGGCGUUAAGUUGCAGGGUAUAGACCCGAAACCCGGUGAUCUAGCCAUGGGCAGGUUGAAGGUUGGGUAACACUAACUGGAGGACCGAACCGACUAAUGUUGAAAAAUUAGCGGAUGACCUGUGGCUGGGGGUGAAAGGCCAAUCAAACCGGGAGAUAGCUGGUUCUCCCCGAAAGCUAUUUAGGUAGCGCCUCGUGAAUUCAUCUCCGGGGGUAGAGCACUGUUUCGGCUAGGGGGCCAUCCCGGCUUACCAACCCGAUGCAAACUGCGAAUACCGGAGAAUGUUAUCACGGGAGACACACGGCGGGUGCUAACGUCCGUCGUGAAGAGGGAAACAACCCAGACCGCCAGCUAAGGUCCCAAAGUCAUGGUUAAGUGGGAAACGAUGUGGGAAGGCCCAGACAGCCAGGAUGUUGGCUUAGAAGCAGCCAUCAUUUAAAGAAAGCGUAAUAGCUCACUGGUCGAGUCGGCCUGCGCGGAAGAUGUAACGGGGCUAAACCAUGCACCGAAGCUGCGGCAGCGACGCUGAUGCGUUGUUGGGUAGGGGAGCGUUCUGUAAGCCUGCGAAGGUGGCCUGUGAGGGUUGCUGGAGGUAUCAGAAGUGCGAAUGCUGACAUAAGUAACGAUAAAGCGGGUGAAAAGCCCGCUCGCCGGAAGACCAAGGGUUCCUGUCCAACGUUAAUCGGGGCAGGGUGAGUCGACCCCUAAGGCGAGGCCGAAAGGCGUAGUCGAUGGGAAACGGGUUAAUAUUCCCGUACUUGGUGUUACUGCGAAGGGGGGACGGAGAAGGCUAUGUUGGCCGGGCGACGGUUGUCCCGGUUUAAGCGUGUAGGUGUGUGUUCCAGGUAAAUCCGGUUCACUUUAACACUGAGGCGUGAUGACGAGGCACUACGGUGCUGAAGCAACAAAUGCCCUGCUUCCAGGAAAAGCCUCUAAGCAUCAGGUAACAUCAAAUCGUACCCCAAACCGACACAGGUGGUCAGGUAGAGAAUACCAAGGCGCUUGAGAGAACUCGGGUGAAGGAACUAGGCAAAAUGGUGCCGUAACUUCGGGAGAAGGCACGCUGACACGUAGGUGAAGUGAUUUACUCAUGGAGCUGAAGUCAGUCGAAGAUACCAGCUGGCUGCAACUGUUUAUUAAAAACACAGCACUGUGCAAACACGAAAGUGGACGUAUACGGUGUGACGCCUGCCCGGUGCCGGAAGGUUAAUUGAUGGGGUCAGCGCAAGCGAAGCUCCUGAUCGAAGCCCCGGUAAACGGCGGCCGUAACUAUAACGGUCCUAAGGUAGCGAAAUUCCUUGUCGGGUAAGUUCCGACCUGCACGAAUGGCGUAAUGAUGGCCAGGCUGUCUCCACCCGAGACUCAGUGAAAUUGAACUCGCUGUGAAGAUGCAGUGUACCCGCGGCAAGACGGAAAGACCCCGUGAACCUUUACUAUAGCUUGACACUGAACAUUGAGCCUUGAUGUGUAGGAUAGGUGGGAGGCUUUGAAGUGUGG
rnacentral:rRNA from 1 species